AAGGCUUUAAGUUAAGUAAACUCAUAGCCUUCAAAGCUGUAAAUAAAGGAUACACCUUUAAGCUUUA
rnacentral:tRNA from 1 species